UCGACUAGCAUGCGAGUCGAUGUAGCAAUACAUGGCGUACUGCUCAGUAACACGUGCACUACCUACCCUUAGGCCUGGGAUAACCCCGGGAAACUGGGAAUAAUACCGGAUAUAUCGCGAAUGCUGGAAUGCGUCGCGAUAGAAAGCUCCGGCGCCUAAGGAUGGGUCUGCGGCCUAUCAGGGUAGUAGUGGGUGUAACGUACCUACUAGCCUACGACGGGUACGGGUUGUGAGAGCAAGAGCCCGGAGAUGGAUUCUGAGACACGAAUCCAGGCCCUACGGGGUGCAGCAGGCGCGAAAACUUUACAAUGCUGGAAACAGCGAUAAGGGGACCUCGAGUGCCAGGAUACAAUCCUGGCUGUCGUAAUGCCUAAAAAGCAUUGCAUAGC
rnacentral:rRNA from 1 species